rnacentral:lncRNA from 1 species
AUAAAAAACGCUGCGUCGGCGUUUGGGAUAGACAUGAACAUGUCUCCUCCUACGUUUUCAAUGCUAUCGGAUUUUGCUGAAACGGCGACGACAUGAGGGAGAUCAAAGUUGAUGCCUCGAAUCCAUGGGAAUGCCUUGACUAAAAGGCUCAAAGCAGUCCCGUUACCACCACCGACAUCGACCAGGCUUUCGACUCCGUCGAACACUUCGGGACAUCCUUCGAUUGUCGCCUGCACCGUCAGUCUAGCAUCGCAACCCAUGGCGUUGUUAAAGAGUUCUCUAAAGUCGGGGUUCGCCUCGGCGUAGCUCCAUAGAUCUUUCCCAUUUGCUACUUCAAAUGGUGAGAUAUUAUUGCCGGUUUCAAGGACUCGAGCACUAAGACUAUGCCAUGGUGCUAACCAAGUAGGGCUGGACACGAACAAUAUUAAAGCAGCCAUGGAUUUUUCUCCACGUUUUAUCAAAAGACGAGACAAUGGCGUCGAUGAGAAGCCUACAGUGUGGUGGUUGAUGUGCUCUUGUUUGAAUAUUCGGUCGUGGACCAUGAACCUCAUAAUGCGAUGAAGACGCGACGGUUCGCAUCGGAGGGCAGUGGCUAGCUCGGAUAGUGGCAUAGGGCUUCCAUAGUUUUCAAUAGUGUCGGCAAUCCCAAGCUCAAUGGCACAUUUAACGACAGCUAUUUUAGCAUAUCCUAACACAUAAUUCCAAAUCUUUAUUUCAGCUCUAGCUUCUUCCUUUACUGUCACUUCCAUAUCUCCCAUCUCAACUUUUUUUUUUAUUUUUUUUUAUUUUAGAACUUUUGGCAACUCUAUGCCCAAAUCUUGACCACGAAGCUACGAUUUAUAGAAGCAAAGGUAUUGGUUUGAACUAGGUCACAGUUCUUGAAUUUGAAAAUAUCUUGUCAAAUAUGCUCCUAACCACAAAACAAUUAUUAGAUUAAUUUGGUAAAAAAAUUACAGUCCAAUUAUUUGAGGUGUACCAAAUAGUAUAUGUAACUUAGAUUUUGGUUAACUUUUACCAUAGUACUUCAAUAGCAAUUUAUGAAUUUAAUCUUUAUAUUUUUUUAUUGAUUAAUUUCUAUCACAUUUCAAAAAUCGAGCUAAAAAAAAUUGGAUUAAUGGAUCAAGAAUUAACACGUCAUGACUUUUAAUUAAAACUUUGUAAAAUUAUGAUAAAAAUGAAUUAUCAACUAAGAAGAGAGUCUAAUUGACUUAGAGACUUGAGUUAUGUUUCGUGGGAUAUUCUCACAUUUUUCUGCCAUUCACUUCUACUUUAUUUAUGUGGUAAUGGGUGUAUGUGUGUGAUAGUGGGAUUGAUGGGUUUUUUUAACCAACUUUAUUCAGGAUCUUUCAUUUUCUGGACACUUUUACCCAAAAUCAGACACAGCUCAUCAUCUCAUAUUAUCUAAAAUUGUGUGGUAUAUAUGUUUAUAGGGUCAACUCAAAAAAAUAUUUUAAGAAAAUAAUAAUAAUUUUUGAAAAAUAAAAAUACAAUUUUAUAAAUUAUUGUUAUUUUAUCUUUUUUUUUCGUGUUUGUCUUCGUCCAUAAUGUUUAUCGAUGCUUAUCAGAUUAUUUACCCUAAAUAUUUAUUGUCACUCUUCCAGUAUAAGACUUAUUUCAUUCGAACUUUAAUUGGUUAAAACUUAAAAUGAAAUAUUAUUAUAUUAGAGAGAUUUAUUAUUGUUUAAAUUUGAAUAUAUUUUAAUUUUUAAUCUAUUAUAUUUUUGAAUUGAUUUAUUCUAAUUCUAAUUGAUCAAAUAUGUAUUAUUUGUAACUUUUACUAAAAUUUUUUUAAUACGAUACAUUAUGUUCGUACCCUUUAAAAUUUUUUUGAAAAAUUUUAAAAAUAGAAUAUAGUAUAAUCAAGUACGACCACGUAUGUAUGAUGAUAUAUAAGGAAUUAUAAAGUUGAAUUAAACUAAUAUAAACUGCAAAUAAAUUAAGAAUCGGAAUAAUUUGAACUAAAAACGACGUAGAACAAUUGUGCAGGAAGAGAUUCAGACUUUAGUACACAAAAUCUAAGACCUUGACCUUUAUCAACAACUUCGAAACUUACUUUAUCCGGAUCAAAAUAACAAUCAUAUUUUAAUUGUUUUUUGCAUUCAAUCAAAAAUUAUUCCAGAGAUAGAAUUGAAGAUUGAAAUAAUUAUUGAACAAAGGGAAUUACUAAACGAAGAGCAAGACUGAAACAUUUCUCAUGCAACAAAGUUUUAAUUGUUUUGUAGAAGUGGAUGAACGACUGUGAAGAGCCAUAGAUGUUGUUUUCUAAGGAUAACCCUCGAUGACGGAUUGAACUGCACGUAUGGGAUUAACAGUGAAUCAUUUAAAACCAGAUUGUCGAAGAACAUAGCUCCAUUCCUUUAAGGUCCUCUCUUUCCCUUUAUCAAUAUGAGCCAUCAUCGCCAUGUCUAGCAUCAACCCCACGAAACCUAGCUCGUCGUCUUCUUUAUCUUCUUCAAGAGCUGCUUCAACGAUUAUAACCUUCCCUUUAUCUUCUGGAAUGGCUUCUCGACAUUUUUUUAGGAUUUUAAUGCAUUCCUCGUCGUCCCAAUCAUGCAAUAUCCACUGCAAUUUGCAAUGUAUGGAUUAAUCGUAUAAGACCAUAUAAUGAAGGGAAAAAAAGUACUAACCAUUAAAAACGCUGCGUCGGCGUUUGGGAUAGACAUGAACAUGUCGCCUCCUACGUUUUCAAUGCUACCGGAUUUUGGUGCAACGGCAACGACAUGAGGGAGAUCAAAGUUGAUGCCUCGAAUCCAAGGGAAUGCCUUGACUAAAAGGCUCAAAGUAGUCACGUUACCACCACCGACAUCGACCAGGCUUUCGACUCCGUCGAACACUUCGGGACAUCCUUCGAUUGUCGCCUGCACCGCCAGUCUAGCAUCGCAACCCAUGGCAUCGUUGAAGAGUUAUCUAUGGCCGGGGUUUGUCUCGAACUAGCUCCAUGGAUCUUUCCCGUUCGCAGCUUCAAAUGGUGAGAUAUCAUUGCCGGUUUCAAGGACUCGAGCACUAAGACUAUGCCAUGGUGCUAACCAAGUCGGGCUGGACUCGAGCAAUAUAAAAGGGCCCAUGGAUUUUUCUCCAUCUUUUAUCAAACGACGAGACAAUGGCGUAGAUGAGAAGCCUACAGUGUGUUGGUUGAUGGGUUCCUGUUUGAAUAUUCGGUCGUGGACCAUGAACCUCAUAAUGCGAUAAAGACGCGACGGUUCGCAUCGGAGGGCAGUGGCUAGCUCGGAUAGUGGCAUAGGGCUUCCAUAGUUUUCAAUAACAUUGGCAAUCCCAAGCUCAAUGGCACAUUUAACGACAGCUAUUUUAGCAUACCCGAACACAUAAUUCCAAAUAUCUACUUCAGCUCUAGCUUCUUCUUCUUCGAUUCCACUCACUUCCAUUAUUAUUAUUUUUCUCUUGGAAAACUUUAUAAUUCUAUUCGCAACUCUUGAGGAUGAAAAGUUUUGUUGAAGACCCCGAUUUAUACGAGCAAAGGGUUAGAUUUUCUCUCUUCAAUUUCAGUUUUUUUCCUAAAAUAAAUUAAAUCUAAUUGAAAAUAUCAAAAUUUAGGAGAAAAACUGAUGUGACAUUAUGACAUUAAAUUAUUAAAAAAUGAUACAAAUGGCGUGUGAUUUCAAAUUCAUACAAUCAUGAUGAACAUCCUAAAAUAAUAUAAUUAUCAUGAUAUAACUUGGUGGAACAUUUUUUAAUAUAUAUAUUUAUGUGUUUUUUAAUGGAAUUUUUUUUAAUAUAGUUGUUUCCACCACUGAUUUCCUUUGGAAAAUUUUAGUUAUUAUCGUGAUUAAAAUUGCUUGAUUCUGCUCAACUAAUAAGGGAGAUUUUUUAUAAAUUGUAUUAUUGAACCUAAAAGUUUAACCAUGAAGGAGUGGUUGAAUGACAUUGAAUAAAAAUAAUAAAAGCUUAAUAUAUUAAUUGAUCCUUGAAUUUAACAGUUUUUCUCACAUUAGUUCUUAGAUAUUUCUUUGGAUUAUAUUAGUCUCUAAAUUUGGCAACCAUUACAGACACCAAUUUCUAAGGUUAAGGGUGGGUUUGGAUAGGCGGUACGUUUACUUACGAUUAGUGUAAAAACAGCAGUGGCAGUGAGAUUAGAUACUGUAGCGAUAUUGUAGUGUGAGACAAAAAGUAAGAUAAACGCACCGCACCCAGUCAUCCAUCCAAACUCACCCUAACACCAUUUAGUUUUUAGCAAUUUUGGUGACAUGGACUAAUAUCGUUGUGAUACAUGCUAUAUAUAUAUAUAUAUUCAACUUUCUUUAUAAUAACUACCCAUUAUAACACAACAUUUCGCUAUAACAAUAAAAUUUUUAUCAGAAUUGAUUUUUUAUGUUUUAUUUUAACCUUCUAUAAUAAUUUUUCACUUAUAACAAUAAUAGCUAUAAUUAUGAAGUACAUCCUUUGUUAAAUCAGUUCUUUAAAACAACACCUUGCUUAAAAUUUUAAGUAAAACUAUAACUAUUCAUAUAAGCAAACCUAUUACUUAGAAUUUGAUCUUCUUCUUUUGUUCUUUUCCUUUUUCUUUCUUUUAAUUUUACAUUUUUUUAUAACAUUGAGAGUUAAUCUUAAAAGAAAGAAUAACAAUAAAAGUUAUUAUUUAGAAUUUUUGGGUGUUUUCAUUUUUUUUUGUUUAUUUUCAAUCAAAUUUAGCUAAUAAAUUAGACUUUUAGCUUUUUAGGUGAAAAGAUCAGAAGAACAACAAAAUUACAAAAAAAAGACCAAAUUACACAAUGUGUAAACAUUGAGGGUUAGAUUGUUUAGAAUCAAGACUAAUUUGACCCAAUAUAUAAAUGUUAAAGAUUAAGGUUGCCAUUAUGCCAAUUUUAGAAGCUACCACCGCUAGCUUGUUGGUGACAAAAAAUGAUAAAAUUUAAUAAUUAAAUAACUAUUUUAUAACUUUUUAUAAUUGGGUGAUCAAAAUAAAAUUUACUAAUAUUUAAGUGAAUACUAAUUAAUUUAUUUAUUUUUCAUUUCGAUAAACAAACAAAUCGUGGACCAUAGAAUUUAAUCUCUCUUCACAAAAUCAGACAUGGGUUCUUUCUUUGGACAAUGGUUACCCAAAAUAGAGAAAAAUUUUCACAUAAAUGUUCGAUAUGAUUAGUGCCCCCACUAAACAGCUCAUCAUCUCAUAUUUAUCUAAAAUUGUGGUAUAAAUGUUUAUAGGGGUUAUGGGACAUCUCAAAUGGAUUAACGCUUCUUUUGGAGAGGAGUUAUGACUUUGUAAUAAUCCAAACAGACAGUAUAGAGGCCGUUCAAGUUAUUAAAGACUAGGCUUGUAAGGACUUGGACUCAACUUUAAUAAGAAGAAAUCAUCAAAUUUUGUCUAGUAUUAGACAUUGGGACAUUUGUCACAUUCCGAAGUCGAUGAAAUUGCUAAACUAGUUCAAGAAAUGAGGGAAUGUCUUUCAAGUGUUUGAAGUGUCCCCAUUGGGAAGUUUUAUUUUAUCGUAAUUUUUUAGGUUUUGUAUUUUCACCAAAUUUUUUUUAAGAAAAUAGAAAAUAAUAAUAAUUUUUGAAAACUCAAAGUACAAUUAUAUUAAAUUUGUGAUUUCAUCCAUAAUGUUAUUCAUAUCUAUCUAAUUAUUUGUCCUAAUCAUCCGAAAUUUAGGCCUAGUUUGGAUUGGUGGUACGUUUAACUGUAGUUAGUGUAAACAUAACGGUGGCGAUGAUAUUAGAUACUGUAGCGUGAGACAAAAAAUAAAUUAAAAGCACCGCACCCAAUCACCCAUCUAAAUCCACCUUAGUUAGUUACAAUCUAAAAUGAAAUAUAUAUUAAUAUAAUAAUAUAUUAUAUUGGUGUUUUGUUCAGUUUUAUUAUGGUUUAAAUUCAAAUAUAUUUCAAAUUUCAAUCUAUUAUAUUUUAUAUUGAGUUAUUCUAAUUUUAAUUGAUCAAAUAUGUAUUAUUUGUAACUUAUACUAAGCUUCUUCUUUUUUAAGUAACUCAUACUAUAUUUGUAGUUAUAAAUUCUUUCAAAAAAAUAAAUUAGGAUUCAUUAUAACAACACAAGCCAUGUUUUAAUAGAGCGUAUUACGAACUCAAAUCCUUUGAAUUUUUUUGAAAAAGUUUACAACUAGAAUAUAGUAAAUCAAGUACAACACAAUUAUAAAGUUGAAUUGAAUCAAUAUAAAUUACAAACAGAUUAAGAACGGGAAUAAAUUAAAUUAAAAUUCACACGUGACAAUUGCGUAUGAUGAGACUCAAGUUUUGGUAUACAAGACUCAAAAUCUCGACUUUUACCAACAAUGCCAAAACUUAUUCGACAGACAAUUCAAACCUCUUAUCCGAUAUCAAAAUACCAGUUGUAUUUUAAUUAUUUUUCACAAUCAAUCUAAAACUAUUCCAGAGGUAGAAUUAAAAUUGGUAUCAGUUUUAAAUAAAACCGGAUUAAUUGAUAUAUUGAUUCCAACAGAAUGAUUUUAAAGAAAACCACUCAAAACCAAGAUUUAUUGUAGUAGUGGAUGAACAACUGUGAAGAGCCAUAGAAUUUUUUUUUUCUAAGGAUAAGCUUCGAUGACGGAUUGAACUGCACGUAUAGGUUUAACGUUGAAUCGUGUAAAACCAGAUUGUCGAAGAACAUAGCUCCAUUCCUUUAAGGUCCUCUCUUUCCCUUUAUUAGUAACACCCAUCAUCGUCAUGUCUAGCAUCAACCCUACGCCACCUAGCUCGUCGCCUUCUUUAUCUUCUUCAAGAACUGCUUCAACGAUUAUAACCUUCCCUUUAUCUUCUGGAAUGGCUUCUCGACAUUUUUUUAGGAUUUUAAUGCAUUCCUCGUCGUCCCAAUCAUGCAAUACCCACUGCAAUGUGCCAUGUAUGGAUUAAUCGUAUAAGACCAUAUAAUGAAGGGAAAGAAAGUACUAACCAUGAAAAACGCUGCGUCGGCAUUUGGGAUAGACAUGAACAUGUCUCCUCCUACGUUUUCAAUGCUAUCGGAUUUUGCUGAAACGGCGACGACAUGAGGGAGAUCAAAGUUGAUGCCUCGAAUCCAUGGGAAUGCCUUGACUAAAAGGCUCAAAGCAGUCCCGUUACCACCACCGACAUCGACCAGGCUUUCGACUCCAUCAAACACUUCGGGACAUCCUUCGAUUGUCGCCUGCACCGUCAGUCUAGCAUCGCAACCCAUGGCGUUGUUAAAGAGUUCUCUAAAGUCGGGGUUCGCCUCGGCGUAGCUCCAUAGAUCUUUCCCAUUUGCUACUUCAAAUGGUGAGAUAUUAUUGCCGGUUUCAAGGACUCGAGCACUAAGACUAUGCCAGGGUGCUAAGCCAGUCGGGCUGGACAUGAGCAAUAUGAAAGCAGCCAUGGAUUUUUCUCCACCUUUUAUCAAAUGACGGGACAAUGGCGUCGAUGAGAAGCCUACGGUGUGUUGGUUGAUGGGUUCUUGUUUGAAUAUUCGGUCGUGGACCAUGAACCUCAUAAUGCGAUAAAGACGUGACGGUUCGCAUCGGAGGGCAGUGGCUAGCUCGGAGAGUGGCAUAGGGCUUCCAUAGUUUUCAAUAACGUCGGCAAUUCCAAGCUCAAUGGCACAUUUAACGACAGCUAUUUUAACAUAUCCUAACACAUAAUUCCAAAUCUUUAUUUCAGCUCUAGCUUCUUCCUCUAUUGUCACUUCCAUAUCUCCUAUCUCAACUUUUUCUUUUAAAAUUUUGUUAUUUUAGAACUUUUGGUAACUCUAUGCCCAAAUCUUGACUAUGAAGCUACGAUUUAUAGAAGCAAAGGUAUUGGUUUGAACUAGGUCACAGUUCUUGAAUUUGAAAAUAUCUUGUCAAAUAUGCUCCUAACCACAAAACAAUUAUUAGAUUAAUUUGGUAAAAAAAUUACAGUCCAAUUAUUUGAGGUGUACCAAAUAGUAUAUGUAACUUAGAUUUUGGUUAACUUUUACCAUAGUACUUCAAUAGCAAUUUAUAAAUUUAAUCUUUAUAUUUUUUUAUUGAUUAAUUUCUAUCACAUUUCAAAAAUCGAGCUAAAAAAAAUUGGAUUAAUGGAUCAAGAAUUAACACGUCAUGACUUUUAAUUAAAACUUUGUAAAAUUAUGAUAAAAAUGAAUUAUCAACUAAGAAGAGAGUCUAAUUGACUUAGAGACUUGAGUUAUGUUUCGUGGGAUAUUCUCACAUUUUUCUGCCAUUCACUUCUACUUUAUUUAUGUGGUAAUGGGUGUAUGUGUGUGAUAGUGGGAUUGAUGGGUUUUUUUAACCAACUUUAUUCAGGAUCUUUCAUUUUCUGGACACUUUUACCCAAAAUCAGACACAGCUCAUCAUCUCAUAUUAUCUAAAAUUGUGUGGUAUAUAUGUUUAUAGGGUCAACUCAAAAAAUAUUUUAAGAAAAUAAUAAUAAUUUUUGAAAAAUAAAAAUACAAUUUUAUAAAUUAUUGUUAUUUUAUCUUUUUUUUUCGUGUUUGUCUUCGUCCAUAAUGUUUGUUGACACCAUUUUUUUGGAUGAAAACGGGGUCGACUUGGAUUUUGAAAAAAGAAUGAAAACGGGAGUCGCUACCAAUCUUUUUUUGAUGAGGUGUGAUCGGGUCACCUCGAAAAGUGGUUGUUUUUAAUAAACAAUUUAAUUUUUAUUAAAACAACGAUUUUGGUCUGCGAAAUUCAGAAAAACGGGUUCGGGAGUCGGUUACGCACGAGGAAGGGUUAGCACCCUCGAUACGCCCAAAAUUGGUACCUAGUUGAUUACUUAAUGUCUUGGUGUCGAAAAUUAAAAACUCGAAAAGAAUUUAAAAAUACGAUCCUUAAAAGAAACUCUGAUAACGUGAAUUGAAAUAUAAGACUCUCUUGUUCCGAAUGAAUAUCACAUCCAGCACGUUAGGACACGAUACUCUAAACCAUCGAAACCAAGAUCACCUUAUAGUUUAAUGAAACCAUACUUUGAAGCUUUAAGAGGAUAUUUGGCUAUUUAGUCAAACGAGAAAUCGAAACCCAGCACGUUAGGGCACGUUUUCUCGAGUUUCCAAACGCGAAAUAUUGCCUUAUUUAGAAAAAUCUUAUCUCGAGGUAAUAAGAUGUCAUAUCCGGUGAGUUAGGACACAACACCUCAAAUCUCAGAGAGUAAGCAUUUUAUUUAACACUCGUAUUAUGAUUUUAAAGAAUAUGCCGUUAUUUAGGUUAAACGAGAAAAAUCGAAACCCAGUAAAUUAGGACACGAUUUUCUCGAAUUUCCAAGAACAGAAUAUUGCCUUAUUUUAUUUUUGUAUAUUCAAAUAAAUAUGUAUGCAAUGUUUAAAACCAUGCAUAUCAUUUGAGUUUCAGUGUAAAGAAUGAACCUUUAACAUGGCUCAUGAUGUGAUUGGAAUAAUAAUAGAAUGAUAACACGAAUAAACAACAUAACGACUUAUCUAUAAUAAUAAAACAACGAGUAUGCCGGGGCAAUUAGCAACUAAAUCUAAUAUUAAUUAAACCAUGAUAUACAUAAGAAUAAUAAUGAAAGAAAGUGGAAUAUGUAUAAAAAAUGAAUAUGCAAACAUCAAAAAGAAAUAAAUAAAUAACAAAGAAGGGUUAAAAUAAUAUAACAAUGACGAUAGUAAGAUUUGGUGAAAACAUGAGAUUAUAGACAAUCAUAUUUAAGAAAUAUAUGUAAUAAUGAACAAAAAAAAAUUGAAAUUAUAUAAAUAAAUAAAUCAAACAACUUGAAGUAAUACAAAAUUUAAGGAUAAAUAGGUGUACGUGUAAUAUUACAUUUAGAAAUAAAAAUAGCAAACAAAUAGUUAAAAGUAAUGUUGGAUAAUAAUCUAGGUAGAGUAUUAAAAAGGAAUAAUAAUAAAAAUACUAUGAUAGUAAUGAUGACAAUAUUAAUAAUCAAAUUGCAACAACAAAACGAACAAAGUGGCUCAAAAUAAAAUCAAAAUCAAAAUAGGAGGUGCAUAAUAAUAAAAGGUAAAAUAUAAGAAAUACAUAAUAAUAAUAAUAAUAAUAAUAAUAAUAAUAAUAAUCCGCGUAGUAGAAAACACAAAUAAUCUAAAUUUUAAAAUAUACGUGUAUAUAUAUAGAUAUAUAUAAAAGUACUUAAAUGGAAUAUUAUACAAAAUCUUAGGAUAAUAUAACAUGAAAAUUCUAAAAUAAUGAUUUUUCAACAAGGCAAAACCAAUAAAGCAAUUUUGGCAAAAAGAGAAAAAAAUAAUAAUAAAUAAAUAAAAAUAAUAAUAAUAAAUAAAAAAAUUGAAUGAAUCCUUUUGGAAAUAAGUAUUGAAUAGAUAAUAAGCCUAAUUAAAAUAAAUUUAAAAUAAAAGGGGUAAUCUGAAAAUAAAGAAACCAACAUGGGGGAUCACUGUGUAAUGUGCGCAAAUGCACAAGGACUAAAACUGGAAAUAAUCCAGGUCCCAUAAUGUAGUGCUUAGACGCGGACCGAAUUGCCAACAUGCGUAAAUUUUGAAGCCAAAUAAAAAAAGGAAGUGAAAUAAAUAAGGCAUGGUUGAGUGCUUGCACAAAGGGGGAGGACUCAAUGUGAAAUUCCCCUAUUUUCAACUUAAAAGGCGCAGAUCAGGCCUGUUAAACAAGUUGAAAUGCGGGCCUUCCUUUUCACAAAUAAUUUAAAACCCCUUUUUCAAAUGCAGCCACCUUUUAACUAAAAAAUCUAUAAUCCUAAAAUCAAUUAAACAUUGCAGCAAAAAAAAAGGAAAGAAAAAGGGGAAACCCAAAAUGUUUGCCCCCGUUUGGUCUGCCGUUCAACCACCAUCAGUCCACCAUGAACGAUGGAUGGUGGUCUACCAAAGCGUUCCCCUUAUGCCUUCAUUUAAAGCCCAGCCUCAAGACUCAUCAAUUUCGGCCUCAAAACCCCUCUCAACCUUCGACGCCGGCUAAGAAGACGAGGAUUUGGUGGCUCGUUCGCAAAGUAAGUCUUCUAUCUUCUCUUUAUUAUACUAAAACGCAUGCAGAGCAAAAAAGAAAACAAAAUAGACCUGAGAAAAAUAAUGUACAAGACUUUUGAAAUCUUUUUUUCUUUCUGAUUGCUCUUUUUUUUUUAUGCUUCAAUCUAUGUGUGUAUAAAAAUACAAUGUUUUUUUUUAUUCCCGAAAUUCCCCUAUUUUCAAUCAGUUCCCUCUCCCCAAAAUACCAUCGAUCCCCCUGUACAAUUUUUGAUUCGGGUUUUUAUAACCCAUUUUCAUCUAAUUUCCUAUUGUUUCUGUUUUGUCUCUUUGCAUGGGAUGGGCACGAUGGAGGUGACAGAGGCAUGGGGUGCAGACGGUGAUGGGCAUGCGUGGAGGCUGGCGCGGAGCAGAGGCGUGCGAGGUUGAGUGGUUGCGCACAUGGGGCAACGGCGCAAGUGGGCAAGUGGGGGGUUUGCUGGUAUGGGCCCGGGCAGAUUUUGGGCUUUACAGCUGCCCCUCUUUGCUCGUUGUCGUGUAACGAAAACAGAGCAAAGACCAAGGAAGACCAAAUUUGCCCGGGCUUACCGAGCCUUGGCUUCUUUUGGUACUUUUCUUCUUCAAGUAGCCUCGUUCUGUUCUGCUGUGUCUCGUUGCUUCAAUCCACUUCACUGCGCUCCAGAGAAACAUGACUUAAAUCUAUUUUGCUGCAACUCCAUGGGGAUGAGAUUUGUUGUUUUCUUCGUCUGCUCCACUACUGCUUAGGGAGAUAAGACUGAAUGCGAUCUGCUCCACUACUGCUUAGGGAGAUAAGAUCUGUAAUCUUCAAUCUACUUCAUGCCAAUACAUGAGACAAGAUCUACUUUCUUCGAUCUACUUUACCACCAGUAUGGGAAGACAAGAUCUGUAUCUUGGAUCCACUUCCUAUCAAUAUAGGAAGAUAGGACCUGCUAUCUUCGAUCUACUUCACGCCAAUACAUGAAGACAAGAUCUGCUUUCUGCGAUCUACUUCGCCACCAAUAUGAGAAGACAAGAUCUGCGUCGUCGAUCCACUUCCAAUCAUUAUGGGAAGAUAGGACCUGUUAUCUUUGAUCUACUUCACGCCAAUACAUGAAGACAAGAUCUGCUUUCUGCGAUCUACUUCGCCACCAAUAUGGGAAGACAAGAUCUGCGUCGUCGAUCCACUUCCAAUCAUUAUAGGAAGAUAGGACCUGUUAUCUUUGAUCUACUUCACGCCAAUACAUGAAGACAAGAUCUACUUUCUUCGAUCUACUUCGCCACCAAUAUGGGAAGACAAGAUCUGUAUCUUGGAUCCACUUCCUAUCAAUAUAGGAAGAUAGGACCUGCUAUCUUCGAUCUACCUCACGCCAAUACAUGAAGACAAGAUCUGCUUUCUGCGAUCUACUUCGCCACCAAUAUGGGAAGACAAGAUCUGCGUCGUCGAUCCACUUCCAAUCAUUAUAGGAAGAUAAGACCUGUUAUCUUUGAUCUACUUCACGCCAAUACAUGAAGACAAGAUCUGCUUUCUUUGAUCUACUUCGCCACCAAUAUGGGAAGACAAGAUCUGUAUCUUGGAUCCACUUCCUAUCAAUAUAGGAAGAUAGGACUUGCUAUCUUCGAUCUACUUCACGCCAAUACAUGAAGACAAGAUCUGCUUUCUGCGAUCUACUUCGCCACCAAUAUGGGAAGACAAGAUCUGCGUCGUCGAUCCACUUCCUACCAAUAUAGGAAGAUAGGAUCAGCUAUCUUCGAUCUAUUUCUUGCCCCGGGAGAUAGAACUAUCAGCUUCAAUGUACUCCAUUGUAAUCAGGGAGGUAAAAUCUGCCAUCUUCGAUCUGCUUUGCUGCCAAAUACAGGAAGGCAAGAUCUGCAAUCUUCAAUCUAUUCCACUGCCAAAUACAGGGAGAUAGAGUUAUCGGCUUCAAUGUACUCCCAUGUAGUCAGGGAGGUAAAAUCUGCCAUCUUUGAUCUUCAAUCUAUUCCACUGCCAAAUGCAGAGAGAUAGAGUUAUCGGCUUUAAUGUACUCCACUGUAGUCAGGGAGGUAAAAUCUGCCAUCUUUGAUCUUCAAUCUAUUCCACUGCCAAAUACAGGGAGAUAGAGUUAUCGGCUUCAAUGUACUCCACUGUGGUCAGGGAGGUAAAAUCUGCCAUCUUUGAUCUUCAAUCUAUUCCACUGCCAAAUACAGGGAGAUAGAGUUAUCGGCUUCAAUGUACUCCACUGUGGUCAGGGAGGUAAAAUCUGCCAUCUUUGAUCUUCAAUCUAUUCCACUGCCAAAUGCAGAGAGAUAGAGUUAUUGGCUUCAAUGUACUCCACUGUAGUCACAUGGAGGUAAAAUCUGCCAUCUUUGAUCUGCUUCGCUGCCAAAUACAGGAAGGCAAGAUCUGCAAUCUUCAAUCUAUUCCACUGCCAAAUACAGGGAGAUAGAGUUAUCGGCUUCACUGUACUCCUCUGUAGUCAGGGAGGUAAAAUCUGCCAUCUUCGAUCUGCUUUGCUGCCAAAUACAGAAAGACAAGAUCUGCAAUCUUCAAUCUAUUCCACUGCCAAAUACAGGGAGAUAGAGUUAUCGGCUUCAAUGUACUCCUCUGUAGUCAGGGAGGUAAAAUCUGCCAUCUUUGAUCUGCUUCGCUGCCAAAUACAGGAAAGAAAGAUCUGAUAUCUUCAACCAGCUCUGCUACAAACGAGAGAGGCAAGGUUUGUCUUCGAUCUGCUUCGCUGUCAGUGCAGGAAGGCAAGAUCUGCUAUCUUCAACCAGCUCUACUACAAACGAGAGUGGCAAGGUUUGUCUUUGAUCUGCUUCGCUGUCAAUGCAGGAAGGCAAGAUCUGAUAACUUCAACCAGCUCUGCUACGACCGAGAGAGGCAAGGUUUAUCUUCAAUUUUUACUGAUCUGUUCUCUAGGGAACAUGACAUGUAUAAUGAACCUAAUUAUGCCUAAUGAUUAGGAUGGCAUGAUCAAAAUGAAUCAAAUGCUCCUAACUAGACAUGCGUGAAUGGUAUUUGAAUGAAUGCAGAAUGUCAUGAAAAUAAUUCCUUAAUGCUUAGGUUAUCAUCGCUCAAAAGCUUAUUAAGGCUUUAUCACUAACGUGUCGCAACGCCUUCUUGACCAGCCGGCAUUUCUAAAGAAACACGUAAUCUGAUUGCCCCCACUGUGAACAUCGUAGUUCAAUCCAUUGUGACAUAAAAUUUGUACCAUCAAUCUCCUACUGUAACCCAAGGGUAGAAAGAUAUGGCUUUUUUCAAUCUUCUCCUAUCGUAAUUCAAGGGUAUAAGAUUUAAAUCCUUCUGGUCCCUUACAUCGUUCCCAAGGUGUCGUACCAAAGACUCAUGCGCAAACAAGGGCUCUCCUUCCCGAGGUAACCUCUUCCUAUUGCCUGAAGAUCAUCACUUUCUUGUUUAUUCAAGCUUUGUCACCAACAUGGCAUCUUGUCAAUCAACGCAUUUGACGACAAAAAUCCAAAGAGAAAGUCUAAAUUUAGACUAUUCCUUCCCAAAUUUCCAACCUUUAAAUUUGGAGUGUUCUAAACAAUUAUCCUGCUUCAGGCUCCUAUAUUAUUUAGAAACUUUUCAGAGUAAUAUGCAAAACUUCCUUCGUGAAAAUUUUAUUAGUCCAUUAAUCAUUAUUCCAAUGCAACAUGCUUGCAAAAGAUCAUAACGAUAGAUAAAAUAGAAUUGAUUUGAGAGCAUAGCUCAAAAUGGAUAAACUAUCAAGGAUAGCAAGAAUAAAAGGGGAAUUAAUUGGAAACACGUAUCUUGAAAAAGAAUGAAGUAUUCCAAGAAGAAAAAAAAGAAAAAAAAAGUAUGAGGACAAGAUGCCCCAGAUAUCGUAGCUUGAACUUCUCUGUACCAACUCUUUGAAAGACCAUUCUGUGUUUGACAUGUGUUUAGGAGAUCUACAAGACUUUGUCGAUGCCCCAAGAUGCUACCUACCCUUUCCUGUUGAAUCAGGUAUAGCAAGAUCAUUACAUGCCCCGAUUUGAUCAAAAUUUGAGCUGCUCUGAUCGCCUCAUGCCCCAAUUUGAUCCAAAAUUUGAGUCGCCCUUUUUUUGGGUUUUCAACUCAAGCCCCUUUGGUCUCAAGGCGCCCUUUGCGGGUUUUCACCUUGGCCUCUCCUUUUUUCACUCAUUUUACUUUUCUUCUUUUUCAUUAAUUUUCUCUUUUUUAAGUGAAGUAUUUGUUCCUUGAAUCAAAAUUCUCAAGAUUAGGCAAGUUCUUGCCAUCUAUCUUGGUUAAUACCUACACUCUCCCAGAUAAAGCCUUCCACAUAAGGUCCUUCUGGCUUGGCAUCCACUUUCUUCUGAAGUCUCCUUUGUAUGGGAAGGAUCUUCUUUGAUAUCGGGUCCCCUUUGUGGAAUUCUCUGGAGCAAACCUUGUUUUGGUGAACUCAUACCAUUUGCUUUUGGUACAUUUGACCAUGAUAGAUAUUUUGAACAUUCCUCUUCAACCAGGAUUGGAUCCAAAAACUCAAAGAGAAGGAAAUCUUGACCUCAAUAGGUAAAACCGCGAUAAGCCCAAAAAGAGGGCGUUGCCCUGAGAGAGUUUUUUUUGGCGAUAUGGUGUUAAUCUUGAACAGACUGCAAACUUCUGAUAUUGUGCUCUUGUUCAAAUUUAGUGCAUUGUCAAAUAUGAUCCUUUUCGACUCUUCAAGCUGACGUGAUCUUUUGCUGUCGACUUUGUGACAUUGGCAUAUGAAGCAGCUUCUUCCUGUGAAGAUAAACUGAUGACCGCUAGACUCUUUUGACGAGAUUGACCUAACAACCUUCAUGCCCCACAUAGGGGAAGUCAUGGACUCCAUUGAUUUUUCGUAAGGUGGAAUCUGUUUUUCACCUUGUUCUACCCUCCUCAAUAAGUACGGAGAUAGGCCACAAUCUAUGUCCUCUUCGAAGUCAUGAGAUUCCUCUAAACACAUGUCUCACUCAAAAGGAAGUUCUGAGUCUGUAGCAGUGUCAUUCAUGUCGUUGAUAUUCAGGGACCCGUUGUAGGUGCAAAAGAAUAUACAAAGAAUGUACGAAUUCAAGAAUAAUUAUCUGUACAGCAUGAUUAUGAAUGAAUGAAUGAUUUGGAAGAAAGAAUGAAAGAUUAAAAAUAAUUAUUCAUAAAGAAUGAAAGAAUAUUAGCUCAAAAAUGAUCGCAAAGAUGUAUUAAAAUAACGACGUUCAGACAUGAGCCUAUUUCACAAAAAGAGUUCAUAUUGCUUCAGGCUAAAAGCAACAAGUUUAUUCUGAAUAUUACUCUAAGUAGGUUCUAAAUACUACAGAGACUUCUUUUACAGUCUGAUUUAUUUAGAACACUUCCAAGUUUAUAAGGGUCGACAUCUAACAAAGUCCCUUCUUCAAUUGUGUCUUCAUGCAUGUCAUUGAUGUGAACACUUCCCAACAUCUCUUCAUACGUCGCAUUCACCUUAUUGUCAAUCAUGAUUGGGUAGCAGAUUUUCUGCCGUAGAUGAGUCACCCAACUUGACAAUACCCAUGUUGAUGAGUUUUUCAACUAGUUUCUUGAAGGUGAUGCAAUUCUCUAUUGAGUGCCCCGUAAUUCCUGCGUGGUAGUCACAGUGUGUGUUCGCAUUAUACCACUUUGUAUAUGGAGGUUGUGGGGGUUUUGAGUAGGAAGGGGAAACAACAUGUGCAUCGAAUAAAUUUUGAUACAACUCUUCAUAUGACAUUGGAAUUGGUGUGAACUGGAGGUUCUCAGUACCUGGUUUCACUCCAGGUUCUUGUCUCAAUGAGCCUUGUUGGUUAGCGACCAUUUUUCUUGGCUGAUUCACCGUAAUUGGUUUUGAAUAACCCUUGCUAUAUGUACUCGUGUUGUUCACCUCAUUGUCUUUGUGCUUUGGGGUUGAUCUCUUGAUGCCUUCUUCCGCAUCUAUCUUCCCACUUCUUACUGCAUUUUCAAUCAUUUCACCAGACAUCACUACAUCUGAGAAGCUCAUGGUAGCACUUCCUAACAUGUGGUUAAUGAACGGUGCUUUCAGAGUGUUGAUGAAAAGCAUCGUGGUUUCUUUCUCUAAAAGAGGUGGCUGGACCUGUGUCGCGACCUCUCUCCAUCUUUGGGCAUAUUGCCUAAAGCUCUCACUUUGCUUCUUUUCCAUGUUCUGCAAUGUGAUUCUAUCGGGUGUCAUAUCUGUCACAUGGUUGUACUGCUUUAUGAAAGCCUGUGCUAAGUCCUCCCAUGAAUGGAUGUUGACGCGACUUAACUGGUUGUACCACUUAGCUGCAGACCCGAUCAGACUGUCCUGGAAGCAGUGGAUCAACAGUUGAUCAUUGUUGAUGUAUCCUAUCAUUCUUCGACAGAACAUAGUUAUAUGAGCUUUAGGACAACUAGUCCCGUUGUACUUUUCAAACUCCGGCAUUUUGAAUUUGGGAGGGAGUACUAGAUCAGGUACCAAACUCAAGUCCUUGGCGUCGACUCCACAAUGGUAGUCGGUGUUCUCCAUGGCUCUAAAUUUCUCCUCUAGCCAUCUACAUCGGUCCUCAAGUUGUUUUGACAAGUCUGUUUUUACUUUCUCCAUCUCUGCCAUGUUAUCGAGAUCAGGAAAUACGGGGUUGGUAGGAUUAUCACCGGGAUUAGAACCCGAGCCUAUUGGAAAGUUUAUCGAUGCCGGGGCACCGACCUGGUAUUGGGAUCUAAUGGUAACAGGUGCCCUCUGCGGGUACACCUCUGGUUGCACUUGGAUGUUAGUUGGGGUGAAACCUGGAGGAUAGGCAGGGUCAUCGUGAUCAUCCCCAGCAUCAACUAAAGGGCCUUUUCCUUUUUCAUUCCUUCCAGUCAAUAACUGCUUUAAUUGGUUCAUCACAGUGUUCUGGGAUUCUAACAUGUCUUGCUGAAUUUUUUCCAGUCGUUCGUGCAUCUGAUCUUGCAUCUCUCGUUGCAACUGUUCCAAUCUUUCCAACCUUUGAUCCAUUGUUUUCGUUUGGCGACGAGUACCGUAGUGAUAUUUGAUUAGAUUUUUGUUGGUUUCCAGGGUAACUGAAAUAAUUUUACCUAGUUAGGGUCACUUCGUGAAAGUCUAAUGCAUAUGAUGUAAUGCAAAUGCAUGAAAUGAAUGCCAAAAGAAACGUUAAUUCUUGGUUCAAUUCUAUUAGAACAACUGGAAUAGAAAACAAAUCUAUUUACAUAAAGCAGAUAUAUAUACGGCUUUGCCGUCAUAGGCGGGAACAUUCGAUCCUCUUCUUCAUUCGAGCGUUAAGAUAAAUCUCCCGAACUCUUCAAAAGGGACAUCCCUUCUAUCUCUUUUUUCUUCAUCUGGGCCGCGACUCGUUACUCAUUCAUCCUUGUGAUGCUCGUUGGCUUCUCUUUAAAAAGUUUAGCGGUUCUCGAAUAAUCUUUAUCAUCUUGAGUCUUCAGCCAACGAGGCAAAGUCAUAUAGUCCUCUACUGAACUAUCAUCCUUCUUUUGUUAUAUCUUCUCGGACCGUAUUAGGACAACCGUAUCGUCAUCCACUUUAUCAAGAAACCCAUUUUCUUAUGACAAGCUCUCUAUUUAGCAAUUGAACGUGAAUCAACACCUCUUUUUAUGAUGAAAAUGCAAUGCAAUCAUAGCAAAAAGAAAACAUGUUAGUACAAAGCAAAAGCAAGCAAGAAUAAAUAGAACACCUAUUUGGGUGAAUACUAGGGGUUCGAAGUGGUUCUACCUAGGGUGGGCUCCUAAGGUUCACUACAUGGGGUUUGGUUCUAAAGUAAGGGUACCUGAACCAGCAGAUUCCUCGAUCCUCACCCAUUAUAGGCUCAUAUGGACCGAGUUCAGUUCAGGGGAAUACAUUUCCCUAUGGCCAUGCGGAGAUGAAAAUCUCACGAAGACAUAGGUACGGAUGUAUCCCGGAAGCGAUUCACUAUCCCAUGCGGAGGUGAAAACCUCACGAAGGCGUAGUUUCUCACUCCCACUUAAAAGGGUAUGACCAGCGGUCAUGCAAUGCAAUGUGCAGAGGUAUAAAACAAAAUACAGAACAUGAUAAAAAAAAUAUAACUCAAAAUAAAAGAGAUGCAAUGAGAGGAUCGUAAAUUUAAAUCGAAUUUUCCACUUUCAACCAAAAGACAAGAAAUAAUCAACACGUGGCUUGACUCUCUUACUAUCCCCAGUGGAGUCGCCAAGCUGUUGACACCAUUUUUUUGGAUGAAAACGGGGUCGACUUGGAUUUUGAAAAAAGAAUGAAAACGGGAGUCGCCACCAAUCUUUUUUUGAUGAGGUGUGAUCAGGUCACCUCGAAAAGUGGUUAUUUUUAAUAAACAAUUUAAUUUUUAUUAAAACAACGAUUUUGGUCUGCGAAAUUCAGAAAAACGGGUUCGGGAGUCGGUUACGCACGAGGAAGGGUUAGCACCCUCGAUACGCCCAAAAUUGGUACCUAGUUGAUUACUUAAUGUCUUGGUGUCAAAAAUUAAAAACUCGAAAAGAAUUUAAAAAUACGAUCCUUAAAAGAAACUCUGAUAACGUGAAUUGAAAUAUAAGACUCUCUUGUUCCGAAUGAAUAUCACAUCCAGCACGUUAGGACACGAUACUCUAAACCAUCGAAACCAAGAUCACCUUAUAGUUUAAUGAAACCAUACUUUGAAGCUUUAAGAGGAUAUUUGGCUAUUUAGUCAAACGAGAAAUCAAAAUCCAGCACGUUAGGGCACGUUUUCUCGAGUUUCCAAACGCGAAAUAUUGCCUUAUUUAGAAAAAUCUUAUCUCGAGGUAAUAAGAUGUCAUAUCCGGUGAGUUAGGACACAACACCUCAAAUCUCAGAGAGUAAGCAUUUUAUUUAACACUCGUAUUAUGAUUUUAAAGAAUAUGCCGUUAUUUAGGUUAAACGAGAAAAAUCGAAACCCAGUAAAUUAGGACACGAUUUUCUCGAAUUUCCAAGAACAGAAUAUUGCCUUAUUUUAUUUUUGUAUAUUCAAAUAAAUAUGUAUGCAAUGUUUAAAACCAUGCAUAUCAUUUGAGUUUCAGUGUAAAGAAUGAACCUUUAACAUGGCUCAUGAUGUGAUUGGAAUAAUAAUAGAAUGAUAACACGAAUAAACAACAUAACGACUUAUCUAUAAUAAUAAAACAACGAGUAUGCCGGGGCAAUUAGCAACUAAAUCUAAUAUUAAUUAAACCAUGAUAUACAUAAGAAUAAUAAUGAAAGAAAGUGGAAUAUGUAUAAAAAAUGAAUAUGCAAACAUCAAAAAGAAAUAAAUAAAUAACAAAGAAGGGUUAAAAUAAUAUAACAAUGACGAUAGUAAGAUUUGGUGAAAACAUGAGAUUAUAGACAAUCAUAUUUAAGAAAUAUAUGUAAUAAUGAACAAAAAAAAUUGAAAUUAUAUAAAUAAAUAAAUCAAACAACUUGAAGUAAUACAAAAUUUAAGGAUAAAUAGGUGUACGUGUAAUAUUACAUUUAGAAAUAAAAAUAGCAAACAAAUAGUUAAAAGUAAUGUUGGAUAAUAAUCUAGGUAGAGUAUUAAAAAGGAAUAAUAAUAAAAAUACUAUGAUAGUAAUGAUGACAAUAUUAAUAAUCAAAUUGCAACAACAAAACGAACAAAGUGGCUCAAAAUAAAAUCAAAAUCAAAAUAGGAGGUGCAUAAUAAUAAAAGGUAAAAUAUAAGAAAUACAUAAUAAUAAUAAUAAUAAUAAUAAUAAUAAUAAUAAUCCGCGUAGUAGAAAACACAAAUAAUCUAGAUUUUAAAAUAUACGUGUAUAUAUAUAGAUAUAUAUAAAAGUACUUAAAUGGAAUAUUAUACAAAAUGUUAGGAUAAUAUAACAUGAAAAUUCUAAAAUAAUGAUUUUUCAACAAGGCAAAACCAAUAAAGCAAUUUUGGCAAAAAGAGAAAAAAAUAAUAAUAAAUAAAUAAAAAUAAUAAUAAUAAAUAAAAAAAUUGAAUGAAUCCUUUUGGAAAUAAGUAUUGAAUAGAUAAUAAGCCUAAUUAAAAUAAAUUUAAAAUAAAAGGGGUAAUCUGAAAAUAAAGAAACCAACAUGGGGGAUCACUGUGUAAUGUGCGCAAAUGCACAAGGACUAAAACUGGAAAUAAUCCAGGUCCCAUAAUGUAGUGCUUAGACGCGGACCGAAUUGCCAACAUGCGUAAAUUUUGAAGCCAAAUAAAAAAAGGAAGUGAAAUAAAUAAGGCAUGGUUGAGUGCUUGCACAAAGGGGGAGGACUCAACGUGAAAUUCCCCUAUUUUCAACUUAAAAGGCGCAGAUCAGGCCUGUUAAACAAGUUGAAAUGCGGGCCUUCCUUUUCACAAAUAAUUUAAAACCCCUUUUUCAAAUGCAGCCACCUUUUAACUAAAAAAUCUAUAAUCCUAAAAUCAAUUAAACAUUGCAGCAAAAAAAAAGGAAAGAAAAAGGGGAAACCCAAAAUGUUUGCCCCCGUUUGGUCUGCCGUUCAACCACCAUCAGUCCACCAUGAACGAUGGAUGGUGGUCUACCAAAGCGUUCCCCUUAUGCCUUCAUUUAAAGCCCAGCCUCAAGACUCAUCAAUUUCGGCCUCAAAACCCCUCUCAACCUUCGACGCCGGCUAAGAAGACGAGGAUUUGGUGGCUCGUUCGCAAAGUAAGUCUUCUAUCUUCUCUUUAUUAUACUAAAACGCAUGCAGAGCAAAAAAGAAAACAAAAUAGACCUGAGAAAAAUAAUGUACAAGACUUUUGAAAUCUUUUUUUCUUUCUGAUUGCUCUUUUUUUUUUAUGCUUCAAUCUAUGUGUGUAUAAAAAUACAAUGUUUUUUUUAUUCCCGAAAUUCCCCUAUUUUCAAUCAGUUCCCUCUCCCCAAAAUACCAUCGAUCCCCCUGUACAAUUUUUGAUUCGGGUUUUUAUAACCCAUUUUCAUCUAAUUUCCUAUUGUUUCUGUUUUGUCUCUUUGCAUGGGAUGGGCACGAUGGAGGUGACAGAGGCAUGGGGUGCAGACGGUGAUGGGCAUGCGUGGAGGCUGGCGCGGAGCAGAGGCGUGCGAGGUUGAGUGGUUGCGCACAUGGGGCAACGACGCAAGUGGGCAAGUGGGGGGUUUGCUGGUAUGGGCCCGGGCAGAUUUUGGGCUUUACAAUGUUUAUCGAUGCUUAUCAGAUUAUUUACCCUAAAUAUUUAUUGUCACUCUUCCAGUAUAAGACUUAUUUCAUUCGAACUUUAAUUGGUUAAAACUUAAAAUGAAAUAUUAUUAUAUUAGAGAGAUUUAUUAUUGUUUAAAUUUGAAUAUAUUUUAAUUUUUAAUCUAUUAUAUUUUUGAAUUGAUUUAUUCUAAUUCUAAUUGAUCAAAUAUGUAUUAUUUGUAACUUUUACUAAAAUUUUUUUAAUACGAUACAUUAUGUUCGUACCCUUUAAAAUUUUUUUGAAAAAUUUUAAAAAUAGAAUAUAGUAUAAUCAAGUACGACCACGUAUGUAUGAUGAUAUAUAAGGAAUUAUAAAGUUGAAUUAAACUAAUAUAAACUGCAAAUAAAUUAAGAAUCGGAAUAAUUUGAACUAAAAACGACGUAGAACAAUUGUGCAGGAAGAGAUUCAGACUUUAGUACACAAAAUCUAAGACCUUGACCUUUAUCAACAACUUCGAAACUUACUUUAUCCGGAUCAAAAUAACAAUCAUAUUUUAAUUGUUUUUUGCAUUCAAUCAAAAAUUAUUCCAGAGAUAGAAUUGAAGAUUGAAAUAAUUAUUGAACAAAGGGAAUUACUAAACGAAGAGCAAGACUGAAACAUUUCUCAUGCAACAAAGUUUUAAUUGUUUUGUAGAAGUGGAUGAACGACUGUGAAGAGCCAUAGAUGUUGUUUUCUAAGGAUAACCCUCGAUGACGGAUUGAACUGCACGUAUGGGAUUAACAGUGAAUCAUUUAAAACCAGAUUGUCGAAGAACAUAGCUCCAUUCCUUUAAGGUCCUCUCUUUCCCUUUAUCAAUAUGAGCCAUCAUCGCCAUGUCUAGCAUCAACCCCACGAAACCUAGCUCGUCGUCUUCUUUAUCUUCUUCAAGAGCUGCUUCAACGAUUAUAACCUUCCCUUUAUCUUCUGGAAUGGCUUCUCGACAUUUUUUUAGGAUUUUAAUGCAUUCCUCGUCGUCCCAAUCAUGCAAUAUCCACUGCAAUUUGCAAUGUAUGGAUUAAUCGUAUAAGACCAUAUAAUGAAGGGAAAAAAAGUACUAACCAUUAAAAACGCUGCGUCGGCGUUUGGGAUAGACAUGAACAUGUCGCCUCCUACGUUUUCAAUGCUACCGGAUUUUGGUGCAACGGCAACGACAUGAGGGAGAUCAAAGUUGAUGCCUCGAAUCCAAGGGAAUGCCUUGACUAAAAGGCUCAAAGUAGUCACGUUACCACCACCGACAUCGACCAGGCUUUCGACUCCGUCGAACACUUCGGGACAUCCUUCGAUUGUCGCCUGCACCGCCAGUCUAGCAUCGCAACCCAUGGCAUCGUUGAAGAGUUAUCUAUGGCCGGGGUUUGUCUCGAACUAGCUCCAUGGAUCUUUCCCGUUCGCAGCUUCAAAUGGUGAGAUAUCAUUGCCGGUUUCAAGGACUCGAGCACUAAGACUAUGCCAUGGUGCUAACCAAGUCGGGCUGGACUCGAGCAAUAUAAAAGGGCCCAUGGAUUUUUCUCCAUCUUUUAUCAAACGACGAGACAAUGGCGUAGAUGAGAAGCCUACAGUGUGUUGGUUGAUGGGUUCCUGUUUGAAUAUUCGGUCGUGGACCAUGAACCUCAUAAUGCGAUAAAGACGCGACGGUUCGCAUCGGAGGGCAGUGGCUAGCUCGGAUAGUGGCAUAGGGCUUCCAUAGUUUUCAAUAACAUUGGCAAUCCCAAGCUCAAUGGCACAUUUAACGACAGCUAUUUUAGCAUACCCGAACACAUAAUUCCAAAUAUCUACUUCAGCUCUAGCUUCUUCUUCUUCGAUUCCACUCACUUCCAUUAUUAUUAUUUUUCUCUUGGAAAACUUUAUAAUUCUAUUCGCAACUCUUGAGGAUGAAAAGUUUUGUUGAAGACCCCGAUUUAUACGAGCAAAGGGUUAGAUUUUCUCUCUUCAAUUUCAGUUUUUUUCCUAAAAUAAAUUAAAUCUAAUUGAAAAUAUCAAAAUUUAGGAGAAAAACUGAUGUGACAUUAUGACAUUAAAUUAUUAAAAAAUGAUACAAAUGGCGUGUGAUUUCAAAUUCAUACAAUCAUGAUGAACAUCCUAAAAUAAUAUAAUUAUCAUGAUAUAACUUGGUGGAACAUUUUUUAAUAUAUAUAUUUAUGUGUUUUUUAAUGGAAUUUUUUUUAAUAUAGUUGUUUCCACCACUGAUUUCCUUUGGAAAAUUUUAGUUAUUAUCGUGAUUAAAAUUGCUUGAUUCUGCUCAACUAAUAAGGGAGAUUUUUUAUAAAUUGUAUUAUUGAACCUAAAAGUUUAACCAUGAAGGAGUGGUUGAAUGACAUUGAAUAAAAAUAAUAAAAGCUUAAUAUAUUAAUUGAUCCUUGAAUUUAACAGUUUUUCUCACAUUAGUUCUUAGAUAUUUCUUUGGAUUAUAUUAGUCUCUAAAUUUGGCAACCAUUACAGACACCAAUUUCUAAGGUUAAGGGUGGGUUUGGAUAGGCGGUACGUUUACUUACGAUUAGUGUAAAAACAGCAGUGGCAGUGAGAUUAGAUACUGUAGCGAUAUUGUAGUGUGAGACAAAAAGUAAGAUAAACGCACCGCACCCAGUCAUCCAUCCAAACUCACCCUAACACCAUUUAGUUUUUAGCAAUUUUGGUGACAUGGACUAAUAUCGUUGUGAUACAUGCUAUAUAUAUAUAUAUAUUCAACUUUCUUUAUAAUAACUACCCAUUAUAACACAACAUUUCGCUAUAACAAUAAAAUUUUUAUCAGAAUUGAUUUUUUAUGUUUUAUUUUAACCUUCUAUAAUAAUUUUUCACUUAUAACAAUAAUAGCUAUAAUUAUGAAGUACAUCCUUUGUUAAAUCAGUUCUUUAAAACAACACCUUGCUUAAAAUUUUAAGUAAAACUAUAACUAUUCAUAUAAGCAAACCUAUUACUUAGAAUUUGAUCUUCUUCUUUUGUUCUUUUCCUUUUUCUUUCUUUUAAUUUUACAUUUUUUUAUAACAUUGAGAGUUAAUCUUAAAAGAAAGAAUAACAAUAAAAGUUAUUAUUUAGAAUUUUUGGGUGUUUUCAUUUUUUUUUGUUUAUUUUCAAUCAAAUUUAGCUAAUAAAUUAGACUUUUAGCUUUUUAGGUGAAAAGAUCAGAAGAACAACAAAAUUACAAAAAAAAGACCAAAUUACACAAUGUGUAAACAUUGAGGGUUAGAUUGUUUAGAAUCAAGACUAAUUUGACCCAAUAUAUAAAUGUUAAAGAUUAAGGUUGCCAUUAUGCCAAUUUUAGAAGCUACCACCGCUAGCUUGUUGGUGACAAAAAAUGAUAAAAUUUAAUAAUUAAAUAACUAUUUUAUAACUUUUUAUAAUUGGGUGAUCAAAAUAAAAUUUACUAAUAUUUAAGUGAAUACUAAUUAAUUUAUUUAUUUUUCAUUUCGAUAAACAAACAAAUCGUGGACCAUAGAAUUUAAUCUCUCUUCACAAAAUCAGACAUGGGUUCUUUCUUUGGACAAUGGUUACCCAAAAUAGAGAAAAAUUUUCACAUAAAUGUUCGAUAUGAUUAGUGCCCCCACUAAACAGCUCAUCAUCUCAUAUUUAUCUAAAAUUGUGGUAUAAAUGUUUAUAGGGGUUAUGGGACAUCUCAAAUGGAUUAACGCUUCUUUUGGAGAGGAGUUAUGACUUUGUAAUAAUCCAAACAGACAGUAUAGAGGCCGUUCAAGUUAUUAAAGACUAGGCUUGUAAGGACUUGGACUCAACUUUAAUAAGAAGAAAUCAUCAAAUUUUGUCUAGUAUUAGACAUUGGGACAUUUGUCACAUUCCGAAGUCGAUGAAAUUGCUAAACUAGUUCAAGAAAUGAGGGAAUGUCUUUCAAGUGUUUGAAGUGUCCCCAUUGGGAAGUUUUAUUUUAUCGUAAUUUUUUAGGUUUUGUAUUUUCACCAAAUUUUUUUUAAGAAAAUAGAAAAUAAUAAUAAUUUUUGAAAACUCAAAGUACAAUUAUAUUAAAUUUGUAAUUUCAUCCAUAAUGUUAUUCAUAUCUAUCUAAUUAUUUGUCCUAAUCAUCCGAAAUUUAGGCCUAGUUUGGAUUGGUGGUACGUUUAACUGUAGUUAGUGUAAACAUAACGGUGGCGAUGAUAUUAGAUACUGUAGCGUGAGACAAAAAAUAAAUUAAAAGCACCGCACCCAAUCACCCAUCUAAAUCCACCUUAGUUAGUUACAAUCUAAAAUGAAAUAUAUAUUAAUAUAAUAAUAUAUUAUAUUGGUGUUUUGUUCAGUUUUAUUAUGGUUUAAAUUCAAAUAUAUUUCAAAUUUCAAUCUAUUAUAUUUUAUAUUGAGUUAUUCUAAUUUUAAUUGAUCAAAUAUGUAUUAUUUGUAACUUAUACUAAGCUUCUUCUUUUUUAAGUAACUCAUACUAUAUUUGUAGUUAUAAAUUCUUUCAAAAAAAUAAAUUAGGAUUCAUUAUAACAACACAAGCCAUGUUUUAAUAGAGCGUAUUACGAACUCAAAUCCUUUGAAUUUUUUUGAAAAAGUUUACAACUAGAAUAUAGUAAAUCAAGUACAACACAAUUAUAAAGUUGAAUUGAAUCAAUAUAAAUUACAAAUAGAUUAAGAACGGGAAUAAAUUAAAUUAAAAUUCACACGUGACAAUUGCGUAUGAUGAGACUCAAGUUUUGGUAUACAAGACUCAAAAUCUCGACUUUUACCAACAAUGCCAAAACUUAUUCGACAGACAAUUCAAACCUCUUAUCCGAUAUCAAAAUACCAGUUGUAUUUUAAUUAUUUUUCACAAUCAAUCUAAAACUAUUCCAGAGGUAGAAUUAAAAUUGGUAUCAGUUUUAAAUAAAACCGGAUUAAUUGAUAUAUUGAUUCCAACAGAAUGAUUUUAAAGAAAACCACUCAAAACCAAGAUUUAUUGUAGUAGUGGAUGAACAACUGUGAAGAGCCAUAGAAUUUUUUUUUUCUAAGGAUAAGCUUCGAUGACGGAUUGAACUGCACGUAUAGGUUUAACGUUGAAUCGUGUAAAACCAGAUUGUCGAAGAACAUAGCUCCAUUCCUUUAAGGUCCUCUCUUUCCCUUUAUUAGUAACACCCAUCAUCGUCAUGUCUAGCAUCAACCCUACGCCACCUAGCUCGUCGCCUUCUUUAUCUUCUUCAAGAACUGCUUCAACGAUUAUAACCUUCCCUUUAUCUUCUGGAAUGGCUUCUCGACAUUUUUUUAGGAUUUUAAUGCAUUCCUCGUCGUCCCAAUCAUGCAAUACCCACUGCAAUGUGCCAUGUAUGGAUUAAUCGUAUAAGACCAUAUAAUGAAGGGAAAGAAAGUACUAACCAUGAAAAACGCUGCGUCGGCAUUUGGGAUAGACAUGAACAUGUCUCCUCCUACGUUUUCAAUGCUAUCGGAUUUUGCUGAAACGGCGACGACAUGAGGGAGAUCAAAGUUGAUGCCUCGAAUCCAUGGGAAUGCCUUGACUAAAAGGCUCAAAGCAGUCCCGUUACCACCACCGACAUCGACCAGGCUUUCGACUCCAUCAAACACUUCGGGACAUCCUUCGAUUGUCGCCUGCACCGUCAGUCUAGCAUCGCAACCCAUGGCGUUGUUAAAGAGUUCUCUAAAGUCGGGGUUCGCCUCGGCGUAGCUCCAUAGAUCUUUCCCAUUUGCUACUUCAAAUGGUGAGAUAUUAUUGCCGGUUUCAAGGACUCGAGCACUAAGACUAUGCCAGGGUGCUAAGCCAGUCGGGCUGGACAUGAGCAAUAUGAAAAGCAGCCAUGGAUUUUUCUCCACCUUUUAUCAAAUGACGGGACAAUGGCGUCGAUGAGAAGCCUACGGUGUGUUGGUUGAUGGGUUCUUGUUUGAAUAUUCGGUCGUGGACCAUGAACCUCAUAAUGCGAUAAAGACGUGACGGUUCGCAUCGGAGGGCAGUGGCUAGCUCGGAGAGUGGCAUAGGGCUUCCAUAGUUUUCAAUAACGUCGGCAAUUCCAAGCUCAAUGGCACAUUUAACGACAGCUAUUUUAACAUAUCCUAACACAUAAUUCCAAAUCUUUAUUUCAGCUCUAGCUUCUUCCUCUAUUGUCACUUCCAUAUCUCCUAUCUCAACUUUUUCUUUUAAAAUUUUGUUAUUUUAGAACUUUUGGUAACUCUAUGCCCAAAUCUUGACUAUGAAGCUACGAUUUAUAGAAGCAAAGGUAUUGGUUUGAACUAGGUCACAGUUCUUGAAUUUGAAAAUAUCUUGUCAAAUAUGCUCCUAACCACAAAACAAUUAUUAGAUUAAUUUGGUAAAAAAAUUACAGUCCAAUUAUUUGAGGUGUACCAAAUAGUAUAUGUAACUUAGAUUUUGGUUAACUUUUACCAUAGUACUUCAAUAGCAAUUUAUAAAUUUAAUCUUUAUAUUUUUUUAUUGAUUAAUUUCUAUCACAUUUCAAAAAUCGAGCUAAAAAAAAUUGGAUUAAUGGAUCAAGAAUUAACACGUCAUGACUUUUAAUUAAAACUUUGUAAAAUUAUGAUAAAAAUGAAUUAUCAACUAAGAAGAGAGUCUAAUUGACUUAGAGACUUGAGUUAUGUUUCGUGGGAUAUUCUCACAUUUUUCUGCCAUUCACUUCUACUUUAUUUAUGUGGUAAUGGGUGUAUGUGUGUGAUAGUGGGAUUGAUGGGUUUUUUUAACCAACUUUAUUCAGGAUCUUUCAUUUUUUGGACACUUUUACCCAAAAUCAGACACAGCUCAUCAUCUCAUAUUAUCUAAAAUUGUGUGGUAUAUAUGUUUAUAGGGUCAACUCAAAAAAUAUUUUAAGAAAAUAAUAAUAAUUUUCGAAAAAUAAAAAUACAAUUUUAUAAAUUAUUGUUAUUUUAUCUUUUUUUUUCGUGUUUGUCUUCGUCCAUAAUGUUUAUCGAUGCUUAUCAGAUUAUUUACCCUAAAUAUUUAUUGUCACUCUUCCAGUAUAAGACUUAUUUCAUUCGAACUUUAAUUGGUUAAAACUUAAAAUGAAAUAUUAUUAUAUUAGAGAGAUUUAUUAUUGUUUAAAUUUGAAUAUAUUUUAAUUUUUAAUCUAUUAUAUUUUUGAAUUGAUUUAUUCUAAUUCUAAUUGAUCAAAUAUGUAUUAUUUGUAACUUUUACUAAAAUUUUUUUAAUACGAUACAUUAUGUUCGUACCCUUUAAAAUUUUUUUGAAAAAUUUUAAAAAUAGAAUAUAGUAUAAUCAAGUACGACCACGUAUGUAUGAUGAUAUAUAAGGAAUUAUAAAGUUGAAUUAAACUAAUAUAAACUGCAAAUAAAUUAAGAAUCGGAAUAAUUUGAACUAAAAACGACGUAGAACAAUUGUGCAGGAAGAGAUUCAGACUUUAGUACACAAAAUCUAAGACCUUGACCUUUAUCAACAACUUCGAAACUUACUUUAUCCGGAUCAAAAUAACAAUCAUAUUUUAAUUGUUUUUUGCAUUCAAUCAAAAAUUAUUCCAGAGAUAGAAUUGAAGAUUGAAAUAAUUAUUGAACAAAGGGAAUUACUAAACGAAGAGCAAGACUGAAACAUUUCUCAUGCAACAAAGUUUUAAUUGUUUUGUAGAAGUGGAUGAACGACUGUGAAGAGCCAUAGAUGUUGUUUUCUAAGGAUAACCCUCGAUGACGGAUUGAACUGCACGUAUGGGAUUAACAGUGAAUCAUUUAAAACCAGAUUGUCGAAGAACAUAGCUCCAUUCCUUUAAGGUCCUCUCUUUCCCUUUAUCAAUAUGAGCCAUCAUCGCCAUGUCUAGCAUCAACCCCACGAAACCUAGCUCGUCGUCUUCUUUAUCUUCUUCAAGAGCUGCUUCAACGAUUAUAACCUUCCCUUUAUCUUCUGGAAUGGCUUCUCGACAUUUUUUUAGGAUUUUAAUGCAUUCCUCGUCGUCCCAAUCAUGCAAUAUCCACUGCAAUUUGCAAUGUAUGGAUUAAUCGUAUAAGACCAUAUAAUGAAGGGAAAAAAAGUACUAACCAUUAAAAACGCUGCGUCGGCGUUUGGGAUAGACAUGAACAUGUCGCCUCCUACGUUUUCAAUGCUACCGGAUUUUGGUGCAACGGCAACGACAUGAGGGAGAUCAAAGUUGAUGCCUCGAAUCCAAGGGAAUGCCUUGACUAAAAGGCUCAAAGUAGUCCCGUUACCACCACCGACAUCGACCAGGCUUUCGACUCCGCCGAACACUUCGGGACAUCCUUCGAUUGUCGCCUGCACCGCCAGUCUAG